rnacentral:lncRNA from 1 species
AUAUAUUUAAAAUUCAUGACUAGUUGUUUCCAUUCAUCAUCUCAUCUAUUUCUCAUCUAAAGGCUUUGCUUAGGUGGGUAUGAAUAUGAUUACAGACAGGAAAACAGGAUGAGAAGUUGAGUGACUCAUGGCAGGCCCCAGAGCUAACCAGAAACAGGAAUAUUUGAACUUGAGUUUCCGAGAGCAUCUUCUUCCUACUCACAUUUCUUACUCAUUGCAGAAAUGAGAGAACCCAGUGAGGAGACGAGGUGACAAGGGCACAGAAUCUUGAAUGUCUUGAGAGCAGGAGGAGGAGAAGAAAACACGGUAGGAGUCAGGCUAGGAGUGUGGAUUUGGGCCAAGGCAGGACAAAAAGCCAAGGUUAAGGCUGAAAAAGCUCUCCCUGGGAGUGCCUGAACAACAGAUUAGGAUGACUGGACAGCAGGAAAGAUCAGAGGGAGAACCACCUAUGAGACAGGCUCCUCAGCGAAACUCCCAUGGGGUGACGCCUCUGGGGCUUGAACCACGAGCCCUUUGAGGGCAUUCUAGCUUGGCAGCUCUGGGGUCCUGUGAGUUCUGGUGCAGCUUCUAGAGCUGCACCUCAUCCCAGUCACCUCUCCAGUUACUAAAUUCCAUCUUCUCCCAGCUACAAAGGAGGGAAGCAGUGGAGUGCUGUGGUGACAGUGCAGACUAGGCCACUGGGUGGCCUGGGUUUGAGUCCCGGUUUCUCCUCCACUUCCUAGCCGUGACUUUGCACAACAAUUCCUCUGGUCCCUGGUUUCCUCAUCUGUGGAACGGAGCUAUAAUAGUUCUUACAUAAGGAUGGGCAUGGUG